UUUUACUGGAGAAUGCUGCAUUAAGUCUUGCAGAUGUAUGGUGGUUAUUGCUAUAAUGGAAGGUUUUUGAUGAUGGUGGUCAUUGGAUAAAUAAUAGGUUGGAAAAUUUGAGCAUUUGAUCUUCGGGUGCUAUCGACAAUGGAGUGUAACAGAGAAGAGGCUGUCAAAGCAUGGGGG